rnacentral:rRNA from 1 species
GUCUAUGGCCAUGCUACCCUGAACAAGUCUGAUCCCAUCUGAUCUUGGAAGCUAAGCAAGGUCGGGCUUGGUUAAUACUUGGAUGGGAGACCACCUAGGAAGACCAGGUGCUGUAGGCA